GAUGAACGCUGGCGGCGUGCCUAAUACAUGCAAGUCGAGCGAACGGACGAGAAUCUUGCUUCUCUGAUGUUAGCGGCGGACGGGUGAGUAACACGUGGAUAACCUACCUAUCAGACUGGGAUAACUUCGGGAAACCGGAGCUAAUACCGGAUGAUAUUUUGAACCGCAUGGUUCAAAAGUGAAAGACGGUCUUGCUGUCACUUCUCGAUGGAUCCGCGCUGCAUUAGCUAGUUGGUAAGGUAACGGCUUACCAAGGCAACGAUGCAUAGCCGACCUGAGAGGGUGAGCGGCCACACUGGAACUGAGACACGGUACAGACGCAUACGGGAGGCAGCAGUAGGGAAUCUUCAGGAAUGGGCGAAAGCCUGACGGAGCAACGCCGAGUGAGGGAUGAAGGUCUUCGGAUCGGAAAACUCUGUUAUUAGGGAAGAACAUAUGUGUAAGUAACUGUGAACAUCUUGACGGUACAUAAUCAGAAAGCCACGGCUAAAUAAGUG
rnacentral:rRNA from 1 species